AUGAGUUCGUGCCCUCGCGGGUAGACCUCCCACCCUUGAUUAUCACACCUUUGUUGCUUUGGCGGGCCGCUUCGGCUGCUGGCUUCGGCUAGCGAGUGCCCGCCAGAGGACCCCAAACCCUGAACUAUAGCGUCGUCUGAGUACUAUAUAAUAGUUA
rnacentral:misc_RNA from 1 species